AUGGUGUCAAGAUUAGCCAUCACUGACCUAUACUGAAAGAGAACCAACACUUUUCUGAACUCUCUAAAGGGCUGGACCACAGGUGCCUGAGCUACCCAAAAUCUGUUUUGAAAAAUAUGGUGGUUAUGGUGCCCCUUAAAUGAAUUUGGUGACCUCUGUUAACAUUUGUCAGAGGAAAUUACAACUUAGGAGAGGAAGUUAUUAGUAUACAACCACUUCCAGUUCAUAGCAGCAGAA